rnacentral:tRNA from 1 species
GCGGAUAUGGCGGAAUAGGCAGACGCGGUAGAUUCAGGUUCUAUUAGUCUUUUGGCUGUGCAGGUUCAAGUCCUGUUAUCCGCA